rnacentral:pre_miRNA from 1 species
AGUAGAAUUGCUAGGUCAUAUGGUAACUUUAUAUUUAACUUUUUGAGGCACUUCUAGACUGUUUUCCAAAGUGGCUGCACCAUCUUACAAUCCUGUCAGCAAU